rnacentral:lncRNA from 1 species
UGAGGGAGAGGACAGGGGGGUACCCUUCUCCCUUCUCCCACCCCUCUUCUCCUUUCUCCUACCCCCGUUCUUCUUUCUCCCAUUAGAAUAAAACAUCUCCUUUUGAGAUAUUUUUUCUUGAAAUAUUAGAAAUUUUUUUAAAAGGAGAGAUAUUUAAUUUUUUCUCCUUUCUCCCAGCCUUCCUCUCCUUUCUCCUACCCCCUUUCUCCUUUCUCCCACCCC